UGGGUAGGGGAGCGUUCUGUAAGCCUGUGAAGGUGGCCUGUGAGGGUUGCUGGAGGUAUCAGAAGUGCGAAUGCUGACAUAAGUAACGAUAAAGCGGGUGAAAAGCCCGCUCGCCGGAAGACCAAGGGUUCCUGUCCAACGUUAAUCGGGGCAGGGUGAGUCGACCCCUAAGGCGAGGCCGAAAGGCGUAGUCGAUGGGAAACGGGUUAAUAUUCCCGUACUUGGUGUUACUGCGAAGGGGGGACGGAGAAGGCUAUGUUGGCCGGGCGACGGUUGUCCCGGUUUAAGCGUGUAGGUGUGUGUUCCAGGUAAAUCCGGUUCACUUUAACACUGAGGCGUGAUGACGAGGCACUACGGUGCUGAAGCAACAAAUGCCCUGCUUCCAGGAAAAGCCUCUAAGCAUCAGGUAACAUCAAAUCGUACCCCAAACCGACACAGGUGGUCAGGUAGAGAAUACCAAGGCGCUUGAGAGAACUCGGGUGAAGGAACUAGGCAAAAUGGUGCCGUAACUUCGGGAGAAGGCACGCUGACAUGUAGGUGAAGUGAUUUACUCAUGGAGCUGAAGUCAGUCGAAGAUACCAGCUGGCUGCAACUGUUUAUUAAAAACACAGCACUGUGCAAACACGAAAGUGGACGUAUACGGUGUGACGCCUGCCCGGUGCCGGAAGGUUAAUUGAUGGGGUCAGCGCAAGCGAAGCUCCUGAUCGAAGCCCCGGUAAACGGCGGCCGUAACUAUAACGGUCCUAAGGUAGCGAAAUUCCUUGUCGGGUAAGUUCCGACCUGCACGAAUGGCGUAAUGAUGGCCAGGCUGUCUCCACCCGAGACUCAGUGAAAUUGAACUCGCUGUGAAGAUGCAGUGUACCCGCGGCAAGACGGAAAGACCCCGUGAACCUUUACUAUAGCUUGACACUGAACAUUGAGCCUUGAUGUGUAGGAUAGGUGGGAGGCUUUGAAGCGUGGACGCCAGUCUGCAUGGAGCCGACCUUGAAAUACCACCCUUUAAUGUUUGAUGUUCUAACGUGGACCCGUAAUCCGGGUUGCGGACAGUGUCUGGUGGGUAGUUUGACUGGGGCGGUCUCCUCCUAAAGAGUAACGGAGGAGCACGAAGGUUGGCUAAUCCUGGUCGGACAUCAGGAGGUUAGUGCAAUGGCAUAAGCCAGCUUGACUGCGAGCGUGACGGCGCGAGCAGGUGCGAAAGCAGGUCAUAGUGAUCCGGUGGUUCUGAAUGGAAGGGCCAUCGCUCAACGGAUAAAAGGUACUCCGGGGAUAACAGGCUGAUACCGCCCAAGAGUUCAUAUCGACGGCGGUGUUUGGCACCUCGAUGUCGGCUCAUCACAUCCUGGGGCUGAAGUAGGUCCCAAGGGUAUGGCUGUUCGCCAUUUAAAGUGGUACGCGAGCUGGGUUUAGAACGUCGUGAGACAGUUCGGUCCCUAUCUGCCGUGGGCGCUGGAGAACUGAGGGGGGCUGCUCCUAGUACGAGAGGACCGGAGUGGACGCAUCACUGGUGUUCGGGUUGUCAUGCCAAUGGCACUGCCCGGUAGCUAAAUGCGGAAGAGAUAAGUGCUGAAAGCAUCUAAGCACGAAACUUGCCCCGAGAUGAGUUCU
rnacentral:rRNA from 1 species